GAGAUAGAAAAGUGCUUCAACCCGCGCCGGCGGCGACUGCAGUUCCUGCGAGCGGGGAGCGCGGGACCUGCUGACACGCUGACGCCUUCGAGCGCGGCCCGGGGCCCGGAGCGGCCGGAGCAGCCCGGGUCCUGACCCCGGCCCGGCUCCCGCUCCGGGCUCUGCCGGCGGGCGGGCGAGCGCGGCGCGGUCCGGGCCGGGGGGAUGUCUCGGCGGACGCGCUGCGAGGAUCUGGAUGAGCUGCACUACCAGGACACAGAUUCAGAUGUGCCGGAGCAGAGGGAUAGCAAGUGCAAGGUCAAAUGGACCCAUGAGGAGGACGAGCAGCUGAGGGCCCUGGUGAGGCAGUUUGGACAGCAGGACUGGAAGUUCCUGGCCAGCCACUUCCCUAACCGCACUGACCAGCAAUGCCAGUACAGGUGGCUGAGAGUUUUGAAUCCAGACCUUGUCAAGGGGCCAUGGACCAAAGAGGAAGACCAAAAAGUCAUCGAGCUGGUUAAGAAGUACGGCACAAAGCAGUGGACACUGAUUGCCAAGCACCUGAAGGGCCGGCUGGGGAAGCAGUGCCGUGAACGCUGGCACAACCACCUCAACCCUGAGGUGAAGAAGUCUUGCUGGACCGAGGAGGAGGACCGCAUCAUCUGCGAGGCCCACAAGGUGCUGGGCAACCGCUGGGCUGAGAUCGCCAAGAUGUUGCCAGGGAGGACAGACAAUGCUGUGAAGAAUCACUGGAACUCUACCAUCAAAAGGAAGGUGGACACAGGAGGCUUCUUGAGCGAGUCCAAAGACUGCAAGCCCCCGGUGUACUUGCUGCUGGAGCUCGAGGACAAGGACGGCCUCCAGAGUGCCCAGCCCACAGAAGACCAGGGAAGUCUUCUGACCAACUGGCCCUCCGUCCCUCCUACCAUAAAGGAGGAGGAAAGCAGUGAGGAGGAACUUGCAGCAGCCACCACAUCGAAGGAACAGGAGCCCAUCCCUACAGAUCUGGACGCAGUGCGAACACCAGAGCCCUUGGAGGAAUUCCCGAAGCGUGAGGACCAGGAAGGCUCCCCGCCAGAAACGAGCCUGCCUUACAAGUGGGUGGUGGAGGCAGCUAACCUCCUCAUCCCCGCUGUGGGUUCUAGCCUCUCUGAAGCCCUGGACUUGAUCGAGUCGGACCCUGAUGCUUGGUGUGACCUGAGUAAAUUUGACCUCCCUGAGGAACCAUCUGCAGAGGACAGUAUCAACAACAGCCUAGUGCAGCUGCAAGCGUCACAUCAGCAGCAAGUCCUGCCACCCCGCCAGCCUGCCGCCCCGGUGCCCAGCGUGACCGAGUACCGCCUGGAUGGCCACACCAUCUCAGACCUGAGCCGGAGCAGCCGGGGCGAGCUGAUCCCCAUUUCCCCCAGCACUGAAGUCGGGGGCUCUGGCAUUGGCACGCCGCCCUCUGUGCUCAAGCGGCAGAGGAAGAGGCGUGUGGCUCUGUCCCCUGUCACUGAGAAUAGCACCAGUCUGUCCUUCCUGGAUUCCUGUAACAGCCUCACGCCCAAGAGCACACCUGUUAAGACCCUGCCCUUCUCGCCCUCCCAGUUUCUGAACUUCUGGAACAAACAGGACACAUUGGAGCUGGAGAGCCCCUCGCUGACAUCCACCCCAGUGUGCAGCCAGAAGGUGGUGGUCACCACACCACUGCACCGGGACAAGACACCCCUGCACCAGAAACAUGCUGCGUUUGUAACCCCAGAUCAGAAGUACUCCAUGGACAACACUCCCCACACGCCAACCCCGUUCAAGAACGCCCUGGAGAAGUACGGACCCCUGAAGCCCCUGGUACGUGGUGUGGUCGCUGCCGUGGAUCUCUGCACAGUGGGAUCCCUUCGGUUCAUCCAACCAUGUUCAGUCCACAGGACCCUUCCCUCUGAGGUCUCAUUUGAUUCUUUCUCCUGAGAAGAUGCAGAGAUCCUGAUAAUAUAAAUGGGGAAGCUGAGGCUGCUCUUUGUCACUUCCUCCGACUGCUCCUGAGCACCUGAGUUUGCAAGCACGUGCCGGCUGGUGCUAGAGACAUGGUGGUAUCCCGUGACACUCAGCCUCAGGAUGGGGGAGACUGAUGUGAAAUACAAAUAACUUAAACACUUUCAGGCAAAGAUAAGCACUGGGCCUAGUUCAGAGAAGUGGCAAAUUGCUGCUCUGGCCUGUCUCUGACCAACUCCCAGUUCUCUACAGAGCACGGGAAAGCCCCUCGGGGACGUCUUUCCUGCAGUGUGCAGGCUGCCCUUCUCCCCUGCUCUUCCCAGUUGAUGGGAUGGUUGUGUUUUCUCUAUGAAAAAAGGAGUUGGCACCUUGGGCUUUCUGAAACACACAGGUGUUUUAGAAAUCAGUGGAGGGUGAGAGAAAGGCAUGGUUGUGGAGGCACUGGACUGUGAACAAGGUCUGCAGCGGGUCCCCCUGCUGUCUCUCUCCACUGCAUGGAGCCUCCUAUGAAGCCCAAGGUGGCUGGGGGCUGAGGCUCCCUUGGGCCUGCCAUGGAACUGAUUCUGAGUCAAGCAGACUUUCCACGGACCAUGCUACAUGAGCCGAGCCACAGACCCCGCACCUGGAGGAGGACUUGAAGGAGGUGCUGCGCUCUGAGGCUGGCAUCGAACUCAUCAUCGAGGACGACGUCAGGCCCGAGAAGCAGAAGAGGAAGCCUGGGCUGCGGCGGAGCCCCAUCAAGAAAGUCCGGAAGUCUCUGGCUCUUGACAUUGUGGAUGAGGAUGUGAAGCUGAUGAUGUCCACACUGCCCAAGUCUCUAUCCUUGCCGACAACUGCCCCUUCAAACCCUUCCAGCCUCACCCUGUCAGGUAUCAAAGAAGACAACAGCUUGCUCAACCAGGGCUUCUUGCAGGCCAAGCCCGAGAAGGCAGCAGUGGCCCAGAAGCCCCGAAGCCACUUCACGACACCUGCCCCUAUGUCCAGUGCCUGGAAGACGGUGGCCUGCGGGGGGACCAGGGACCAGCUUUUCAUGCAGGAGAAAGCCCGGCAGCUCCUGGGCCGCCUGAAGCCCAGCCACACAUCUCGGACCCUCAUCUUGUCCUGAGGUGUUGAGGGUGUCACGAGCCCAUUCUCAUGUUUACAGGGGUUGUGGGGGCAGAGGGGGUCUGUGAAUCUGAGAGUCAUUCAGGUGACCUCCUGCAGGGAGCCUUCUGCCACCAGCCCCUCCCCAGACUCUCAGGUGGAGGCAACAGGGCCAUGCGCUGCCCUGUUGCCGAGCCCAGCUGUGGGCGGCUCCUGGUGCUAACAACAUAGUUCCACUCCCAGGUCUGCCUGGUUCCCUCCCCAAGGCCACAGGGAGCUCAGUCAGCUUCUCCCAAGCCCACGUCAGGCCUGGCCUCAUCUCAGACCCUGCUUAGGAUGGGGGAUGUGGCCAGGGGUGCUCCUGUGCUCACCCUCUCUUGGUGCAUUUUUUUGGAAGAAUAAAAUUGCCUCUGUCUUUG